GGAGGUAGAGCACUGAAUGGGCUAGGGCUGACAACAGUUACUGAACCCUAUCAAACUCCGAAUGCCAUAUACUUGUACCCCGGCAGUCAGACUACGAAUGAUAAGAUCCGUGGUCAAAAGGGAAACAGCCCAGACCAUCAGCUAAGGUCCCAAAGUGUAAGUUAAGUGGGAAAGGAUGUGGGAUUUCUAAGACAACUAGGAUGUUGGCUUAGAAGCAGCCACUCAUUUAAAGAGUGCGUAAUAGCUCACUAGUCGAGAGAUCUGCGCGAAGAUGUACGGGCUCAACUACCACGAAGCUAUGGAUGUAUACUUGUAUACGUGUAGAGGAGCUUCUGUACAGGUGAAGCCAUACGUAAGGAGUGGUGACAGUACAGAAGUGAGAAUGCUGGCAUAAGUAGCGAAAAACAAGUGAGAAUCUUGUUGGCCGAAUAUCUAAGGUUUCCUGGGGAAGGCUCGUCCUCCCAGGGUUAGUCGGGACCUAAGCCAAGGCCGAAAGGCGUAGGUGAUGGACAACUGGUUGAUAUUCCAGUACCGCCAUGAUGCGUUUGACAAAUGGGAUGACGUAGGAGGAUAGGAUGUGCGCACUAUUGGAUGUGCGUCUAAGCACUUAGGGUGUUAAGUAGGCAAAUCCGCUUAACAUUAAGCCUGAGGUGUGAUGGGGAGUCAUUUUUGACGAAGUAUCUGAUUCCACGCUGCCAAGAAAAGUCUCUAUGGAGCAAAAUGGUGCCCGUACCGCAAACCGACACAGGUAGAUGAGGAGAGAAUCCUAAGGCCGUCGGAAGAAUUACUGCUAAGGAACUCGGCAAAUUGACCCCGUAACUUAGGGAGAAGGGGUGCCUACGAGAGUAGGCCGCAGUGAAUAGGCUCAAGCAACUGUUUAUCAAAAACACAGGUCUCUGCUAAAGCGUAAGCUGAUGUAUAGGGGCUGACGCCUGCCCGGUGCUGGAAGGUUAAGGGGAAUAGUUAGCGUAAGCGAAGCUAUGAACUUAAGCCCCAGUAAACGGCGGCCGUAACUAUAACGGUCCUAAGGUAGCGAAAUUCCUUGUCGGGUAAGUUCCGACCCGCACGAAUGGCGUAAUGAUUUGAGCACUGUCUCGGCAGUAAAUCCGGUGAAAUUGUAGUGCAAGUGAAGAUGCUUGCUACCCGCGGUUGGACGGAAAGACCCCGUAGAGCUUUACUGUAGCUUAGCAUUGAAUUUCGGUAUUGUCUGUACAGGAUAGGUGGGAGACUUAGAAACCAGGGCGUCAGCUUUGGCGGAGUCAUCCUUGGGAUACCACCCUGAUAGUACUGGAAUUCUAACUGGAGGCCAUGAAUCUGGUCACAGGACAUUGCUAGGUGGGCAGUUUGACUGGGGCGGUCGCCUCCUAAAAGGUAACGGAGGCGCCCAAAGGUUCCCUCAGCGCGGUCGGAAAUCGCGCGUAGAGUGCAAAGGCAGAAGGGAGCCUGACUGCGACACAUACAGGUGGAGCAGGGACGAAAGUCGGGCUUAGUGAUCCGGUGGUUCUGUAUGGAAGGGCCAUCGCUCAACGGAUAAAAGCUACCUCGGGGAUAACAGGCUGAUCUCCCCCAAGAGUCCACAUCGACGGGGAGGUUUGGCACCUCGAUGUCGGCUCGUCGCAUCCUGGGGCUGUAGUCGGUCCCAAGGGUUGGGCUGUUCGCCCAUUAAAGCGGCACGCGAGCUGGGUUCAGAACGUCGUGAGACAGUUCGGUCCCUAUCCGCCGUGGGCGUAGGAAAUUUGAGAGGAGCUGUCCUUAGUACGAGAGGACCGGGAUGGACCAACCUCUGGUGCACCAGUUGUCACGCCAGUGGCACAGCUGGGUAGCUAUGUUGGGAAGGGAUAAACGCUGAAAGCAUCUAAGCGUGAAGCCCACCUCAAGAUUAGAUUUCCCAUAGCGUAAGCUAGUAAGACCCCUGAAAGACUAUCAGGUUGAUAGGUUGGAGGUGUAAGUACAGUAAUGUAUUCAGCUGACCAAUACUAAUAGGUCGAGGGCUUGAUCAA
rnacentral:rRNA from 1 species